UUUGGUGUUGCCUUCCACUAAUUGAUUAGAAACCCAUCCUAUAAAAAAUUUGUUUUCAUUCCAUGCAAUUAUUAUUUAAAAGUGACGAUCUAUGGAAAAUAAUAAUAAUAAUGAUAAUAAUAAUAAACAAAGGAAAAAUGCAUGUGUAAUGUGGGUUAUUCCUCUAGCACUUUUUCUAUCUUUGACUUUGUUUUGUAUUUGUUGGGAGAUGAGGUUUUGGAAUUUUCCCUCUUUUAGAAGAGUGGGCAAUUAUACUUCACAUUUCUUGUCAUAGGGUCCCCAUUUUUGUCUCUAAUGGCAAAGAUAAUUUUAUUUAGAAAAUAUAUUAACUAAUCUUAUCAUUCUUAACAACAAAGUUUCCACUAAUCAUAUGGUUUUUCUUCCACCUAAACAUUAAUCAAAAGGGAAGUUUUGUGUUUCAUUAAUCUUUUUUAUUUACAGGAAAUUUCUAGUUAGAGGAAAUAUACAUUUUACCAAGCUAGUCACUAUUAGAAAAGUUCAACAAAGGUUUACAGUAGAAAUCAAGUAAUAAUAGUAAUGUAAAAACAUCAAAGCCAUAUAAUGAUAAUAAAUGAUAUUCUUAAGAAAUAAGGACACCAAGAUAAUCCUAAACUAAGUAAUAAUUUUAUGUUAAUCAACAAUGUAACCUCAAAUUUAAUGGUGCAAUUGUUUUGAUGCAAAUUGUUAAUGAAAACCAUUUUGUUAAUACAGACAAAGAAGCUUUAGUUUUUGCCUCAAUCUAUUUUCAUUUUGGGACAAUCUUAAAAGCAUAUCCUCCCACAUUAAGGUGAUCAUGGUGAUGUAUUCCAAAUUUUAUUCUCUAAAUACUACCUAUAACAAUUGAAUCCAAAUAAAAAGUAUAUAUAACUAUUAUACUUAUCAACCAACUAAUCUAUGUAGCAACUAAAAAUCCAUUUUAUAAGUGAAGAAAUCAAUCCAUUGACAAAGAUUUACGAAAAACAACAAAAGGUUUUCUACUUGACCUUGAGAUAAUCAAAGGAGGAGGCCCCAAUUCUAAUAUAAUCAUGCUUUUUUAUGCAUGUUUUUCACAUGUUUAUAGUAUAUACUAACUCGCCAAACUUUUUAACUCUGUUUUAUUCAACUCUGUUCUCUAGCUCAUUCAAGUAUACGUUUUUCCUCUCCUUUGCUUGCUGUAUUGAAACUUUGUUCUUCAAUAACCUUCUCUAAAUAAAAAAAAAAAUCCAAAUUCAUCAAAACGCCACAUGUCUCACAUGAGAACAACUAAAAAAAAAAGACAAAAUAGUAAUAUUAUCUGGCUAAACCCAUAAUAGUCUAGCUCUCACCUUUUCAGGCGCUUGUUUUCUUUAUUUGCCAAGCUCAUCUCUCUCAUUCUCUAACUAACCUCUUCAAAUGGUUGAACCCUUCGUCUGAGUACUUGAAAAAAAAAAGAUCAUUUUUAUCUAAUUAUUAUAUAAAAAUUUAUCUUUAAAAUCCCUAAAUAAAAUAUUUUUAAAAAUAACUCCAAUAUUCCAUAACAUAUGACACAGGUAUAUCCAUUCAAAACCUUUAGAAAUAAAACAAAAUUAACCACCCCAACAAUUAACACAUCGAUCGAAUUUAAAUAACCUAAAAAAUUGACUAAAAAUGACCAUCAAAACCUAUAAUUCAAACUUUGAUCUAAACUAAAGAGUAAAAAUGAUACUGAAUCGGAUUUAAAUCCUAAAAAAUUGAAUAUUUGGGUAAAAUCAAAGAAAAAUAUUUCAAUGGACAAUUUUUUUUUAAAGGAAUGACUUAGUUUCUCAACUUUUGUAGUAAAAAAAAUUGAGAAUAAUGAAUAAAAAAGAGUUAAUUGAUGUCAAGAGAAGAAAAAAGAGAAAAGGAAAAGAGGAAGGAGUUGCGGCCAAAGUCUAUAUUGACAACAACAAUAAAAAAAAACCAAAGAAGUAUUAGGUUUUUUUUAGAUAGUUUUUUGUGGAACAUAAGAAAUAGCUGAAAACAUGAAUGAGAAAUGAAGAGAAGGGUUGAUUUUUGGCCAAAAAAAAAAAAUUUGUUGGACGUAACGUGAGAAAGGAAAAAAUGGUUUUU
rnacentral:lncRNA from 1 species